rnacentral:rRNA from 1 species
UGAUGAGGCCUCCGGGUCAAAGCUUCGGCGUAAAGGAUGAGUCUGCGUCUGAUUAGCUAGUUGGUAAGGUAAUGGCUUACCAAGGCGACGAUCAGUAACUGGUCUGAGAGGACGAUCAGUCACACUGGAACUCGAGACACGGUCCAGACUCCUACGGGAGGCAGCAGUGAGGAAUUUUGGACAAUGGGGGAAACCCUGAUCCAGCGACGCCGCGUGUGGGAUGAAUGGGUUAUGCCCUGUAAACCACUGUCAGCAGAGAAGAAAAGGUUCCUUUGGAACCCGGGACUGUAUCUGCAGAGGAAGGACCGGCUAACUACGUG